GUAGAAAAGAAGAAAAUGAUGUUGUAAUAAUAUAGAUUGUAUUUGGAAGUUAAAUGUAAAUAAAAAUUAUAAUAUGUGAAACCUGGGAUGAAUGCUUAUAAUAGCAUAGUUGCAUUUAUGUUUUUGAUAUUUCCUUAUGCAAUCAUUGCUUAAUUAUUGUUCCUAGUUGGAACCUCGCGUUUUGUAUGGACUGUGAUGCUUAGGACGUACAGGAAAAAUUCUGUUCAUUUGGCGGUCUGUUGGCGCGGCGGCGCGAGGAAAGGGCAUAGCUCCGUAGAUAGCGCCCCCAUCACAGAGACUAGAAAUAGCAAUACUCCAAGUCGGCCUAGCUAGGGGUUGUAGAAAAGAAGAAAACAAUAUUGUAAUAAUAUCGAUUGUAUUUGGAAGUUAAAUGUAAAUGAAAAUUAUAAUAUGUGAAAUCUGGGAUGAAUGCUUAUAAUAGUAUAGUUGCAUUUAUGUUUUUGAUACUUCCUUAUGCAAUCCUUGCUUGAUUAUUGUUCCUGGUUGGAAUCUCGCGUUUUGUAUGGAUUGUGACGCCUAGGAUGUACAGGAAAAAUUCUGUUCGUUCGAUGGUCUAUUGGCGUGCCCGAAUCCGAUCAAAUAGGCGGGUCCCGGGGCGU
rnacentral:lncRNA from 1 species